AUGUUGUUGAACAAAUUCGUAUUGGAGAGCUAAUGGUAGCAAGUGAGAUCAAGCAUUCCCAUCAUGAUCAUAAUUUAAGACUCACUUUUAGUGGGAAGACCAAAGAUGAUGAUAGUCAGUGUGAUGGGUGCACGGGACCUAUAUCAACUCCUUUUUAUAGUUGUGAGCAAUGCAAGUUCUUUCUCCACAAAGAUUGCGCUGAAUUGCCUAAACAAAUGCCACACCCAUUUCACAAGCAUUUGCUUGCUCUCUCAAACUCACACGAUAUGUUUGGUUAUUCAUGUUGCAAUGCUUGCGGUCGUUGGUAUCAAGGAUUUAGCUACAGAUGCUACGAAGGAAAUUGCAGCUUCGAAAUUGACAUUCAAUGUAUAUUAUUGUUAGACACCUUGAAGCACCCAAGUCAUGAGCAUUCACUCUUUCUUGUCCACAACAACGAGGGAACUAGUUGCAGUGUUUGUUUCGAAACACUAGGGUAUGUUGCAUAUAGAUGCAUGAAGCGCUGUGAUUUCAAUUUAGAUGUACAUUGUGCAACACUACCACUUACUGCUUGGUACAAGUAUGAUAGGCAUCCUCUUACUUUGACUCAUUUUGAUGAUUUUGAGCCUUAUCAAUAUUACUACGAUCUCUGUGAGAAAGAAAGAGAGCGAAAUCGUUGGUUUUACUAUUGUGUUGAUUGUGAUAACUCUCUUCAUCUCAAUUAUGCUAUUGGGGAUCUCCCAUAUGUGAAGUUUGGGAACGAAAUCAAAAGUUUUCAUAAGCAUCCACUUACUAUUGUGAAAAACAUCUGGAAUUGCCCUUCAUGUAAGGUAUGUCGUGAGGUUUGUAAUGGGCAGGCCCUAGAAUGUAAAAAAUCUGAAUGCAACUUUAUGGUCCACUCGGGUUGCCGUUGGGGUCUCUAGUGAAGCAUUUUAACAAUAUUCCGUCAAGUUUAAGAAACAGAGAAGGCACAAGAUAAGAUGUGUAUAGUGUUCUGUGGAAGGGUGUAGCAGAUUUGGUAAAAAUGGGUGAUGGCCUUAGUUGUUGUAAUUUGCAUUAUGUUAUGUUUACGAUAGUUGUUUGAGCAGUAUAAGAUUGUGUUAGAUAAAACAUGAUUUGUAAGCACAUAUCUUUAUCUUUCACUUUUCUUAUCUGCUUGUUAUUCUUUCAACUUUUAUCUAAAAUUAUUAAUGAGAACGAAGAAUUGCUUUCUAGCUUGUCAUAAUAAAAUAUUUUUAUUAUCAGAACGAUAAAAAUACUAAAAUAAUAAAAAUAAUGUUGAGUUUGGAAAUUUAAAUACAAAAUCAUUCUUCCACUCACAAUUGCAUAAAAAAUUAUGUGUGAUUGUUAAGACCAAAACAUAAGCGGAUUUGGUAUACCUUAUUAUUUUUGCACAGUGAAAAUGUAAGCAGGCAUACAAAAUAAAAGUUUAUAUAUGUUUUAGCUUUGUACAAGUCCAAUUUGCAGGCCCAACUAACCCAACUAAAGCCCAACCUAAAACAGGCCCAAAUAACCCCAGAACCCAAUCAAGACCUAAUGCCUAACCCUAGCCCAGUUAGCCCACUACCCAAAAUCAGAAAAAUAAUAAACAAACCCUAGGUGCACCGCACCUAGGGACCUUUGACCAGCCAACACCUGCAGCACCGCCAUUGUAACACCCCUUACCCGAGACCGUUUUCGGAGUCGAGCACGAGGCAUUACUUAGCUUAUCUUACCAAUUCGGAGCAUAAAAACAAGGUUUGAAAAUUUAUUUCAUUAUUCGCAGCAAAUCUGUCCAAUCACGCAGCAGUUACUAAAUUAAUUAUAACUUGAGCUACAGAACUCGAAAUUUAAUUCCGUAAAUUUUCCCUGAAACUAGACUCAUAUAUAUACUCACCAUAAAAUUUUUAAAAUUUUUGGUUCAGCAAAUUAGUACAGUUUAUUAGUUAAAGUCUCCCCUGUUUCACCACCUGACUGCCCUGACCUCUAGUCACUAAAAAUAAGUUUUCUCACUGUAGGAUUUUCAUAUGAAGUUCUUACUUGUUUCUAAAGAAAAUAGACUCAUUAAGGAAUCUAAGCAUGUAAAUUUCAACUCAUAAACAUUUUUGUACAAUUUGUAAUUAUUUUCUAAACUCAGAAUAGGGGACUCCAAAAACAGUUCUGACCCUAUCUUACUAAAAUUCACAUAUCUUAAAAUAUAAAUUUCUUUUUUCUACACCGUUAUUUUUCCAUGAAAAUAGACUCAACAAGCUUUAAUUCCAUAUAUCAUUCACCCUCUAAUUCAUUUUAUACUAUCUUGGGUGAUUUUUCAAAUUCACGUCACUGUACUGCCUGAAUUCUGUUUCUUUGCAAAAUUUUAUCCUUUCAUGAUUUCCAUGCAUAAUUUAUCACCUAAUCUUUCAUAACAACAAACACCUUCAUCCUUAACCAUUUUAAUAACCAUACAUCAUCAAAUACUUACACAUCACUCAUUAGCAAAAUCAUCAUUACAAACAUACAAAAUAACUAAAUCCCUAUACAUGCCAUAACUCAAACGUGUUUCGAUAUAAAAUACCGAGCAGUUGUAGUUGUUAGUGUGGACGAUCUCCGACUUCUUUAGGAUCCUUGAAGUAGCUUUGCAAUACUAUAAGAGAAAGAGAAAUAAAAGAAGUAAGCAUAAAGCUUAGUAAGUUUACUAGCAAAUAAAUAACAAUAUUUAACUUAAAUAAUUAAACUCAAUGUCUAUAUCUCUAGUUUACUCUUUAGUUAAUCUUAUACUAGUUCUCUUACUUGUUUACUUAGAAUACUUGUGUGCAUAACUUACUCAAUCCUUGCUGCAUCGUUGAACAUCAAUUGAUAGUAUAAUAAGUUCUUAAGUCUUACAACUUACCUGGGCUUGCCAUUUAUGCUUUAAACUGAACUUCCAUGAACAUGAUUCGUUUACAAGCCCGUUGAGCUACAUUGGAAUAAUAAGGAUACUCGGGUCUCUUCUGAUAAUAACAUGCCAAAGCCAUGUCCCAGACAUGGUCUUACAUGGGAUGUUCUCGUGAUGGUGCCCAUGCCAUGUCCCAGACAUGGUCUUAUAGGGGACCUCUCAUAUCGGUGCCAACGCCAUGUCCCAGACAUGGUCUUACAUGGGACCUCUCGUCUCGGUGCCCAUGCCAUGUCCCAGACAUGGUCUUACAGGGGACCUCUCAUGAUCUUAAGGAUGCCAAUGCCAUGUCCCAGACAUGGUCUUACAUGGGAUCUCUUUACCCAAAUGUCAUGACAUUCGUAUCCAGUACCAUCCUUAUGUAUCAACGGGACUUUUAAAUUUUAAUUCUCUAUCAUUUCAUGCUUGGAUCAUCAUCAAAUAAAUUCAUAAAAUAAAUUCAUAAUUGCUGGAAAUUAACAGCAUUAAUAAUAAAUAUUGAAAUAUUGCAUUUAUUUACCGUAAACUUACCUCGGUACCAAUUAUAGCCAAAUUCACCAACUUAGUCUUCAACUUUAUUCUUCCCUUUGUCUAACCUCGAGUUUCGUACUUCUUGAUCUAAAAUAGUAAAUUUAACUUAUUUAAUAAUCACAUUCAUCAAAACAGCCCUCGACUCUAAAUUUUUCAAAAUUACAAUUUUGCCCCUAAACUUUUACAUAAUUACAUUUUUGCCCCAAGGCUCGGAAAUUAAACUUCAUCUCUUAUUCUUAUGUUUUAUAACAUUCUGAACAUUUUUCCCUUCUAUGGAAACAUCAAAUUCCCACUCUAACAUGUACUUAUGAACAUUAGGUAUUUUUACCGAUUAUGUCGUUUUACUCGUUUUCACUUAAAAUCGCUUAGCAAAAGUUGUUUAACAUAAUUUAUAGCUUCACAUUCUAUCAUAAAACAUCAAAAUAAAUACUUUUCACCUAUGGGUAUUUUUCCAAAUAUAAACCCUAGGUUAAAUUAUUGCUAGAAUAAGCUAAAUUAAGCUACCGGGAUCUCAAAAACGUAAAGAACAUUAAAAACGGGGCUUGGGAUCACUUACUAUAGAGCUUGGAAGCUUGAAAACCCUAACUAUGGCUUCCCCCCUUGCUGAUUUCGUUCAUAUGAAGAAGAUGAUGAUUUUUGCCAUCUUUUUCCCUUUUAAUUCAUUUUAAUUACUAGAUUACCAAAUUGCCCCUAACUUAAAAAUUUUCUAUUUCACUUAUCUCAUUUCCAUUUUUGUCUACCAAGUUACCAAUGGUAUAAUUACCAUAUAAGGACCUCCAAUUUAAAGUUUCAUAACAAUUGGACACCUCUAACAUGUAGAACUCAACUUUUGCACUUUUUACAAUUUAAUCCUUUUGACUAAAUUGAGUGCCCGAACGUCGAAAUUUUCGAACGAAAUUUUCAAAAAAUCAUUUUGUGAAAUUGUAGACCAUAAAAAUAUAAGAAAAAUAAAAUUUUUCUCAUCGGAUUUGUGGUCUCGAAACCACUGUUCCGAUAACCUCAAAUUUGGGCCAUUACAACUCUCCCCCCCCUUUUUAGGAUUUUCGUCCUCGAAAAUCUUUCUAGUAAAGAGAUUUGGGUAUUGCUUCCUCAUUGUCUCUUCCGGUUCCCAUGUUGCUUCCUCAAUCCCGUGCUUUUGCCAUAGCACUUUCACCAGAUUUACCUUUUUGUUUCUAAGCUCCUUUGUUUCUCGUGCUAAUACUUUAACCGGUUCUUCAUUAUAAGUCAUAUCCGGCUGAAUUUCUACUUCUGUUGGAGUAAUAACAUGUGAAGGAUCUGAUCGAUACCGUCGUAGCAUAGAUACAUGAAAUACAUUAUGAAUUUUGUCGAGUUCCGGUGGUAAAGCCAAUCGGUAAGCAACUGGUCCAAUUCUUUCUAUAAUCUCAUAUGGUCCGAUAAAUCUUGGACUCAAUUUACCCUUUCGACCGAACCGGAGAACUUUCUUCCAAGGAGACACUUUUAAGAAUAUUUUAUCACCCACCUGAAAUUCAAUCUCCCUUCGUUUAAGAUCGGCGUAUGACUUUUGACGAUCGGAAGCUGCUUUAAAACUAUCCCGAAUCAGUCUUACUUUUUCUUCUGUUUCCCGAAUCAAAUCAACCCCGUGUAUCUUCUUUUCACUGAGCUCUGUCCAAUAUAAUGGUGUUCUACAUUUUCUACCAUACAAAGCUUCAUACGGAGCCAUUUUAAUACUGGACUGAUAACUGUUAUUAUAAGCAAAUUCAAUCAAAGGUAGAUACCUUUCCCAAUUACCUUGAAACUCUAAUGCACAACAUCGGAGCAUAUCUUCCAAUACCUGAAUUACACACUCAGAUUGGCCAUCUGUCUGAGGAUGAAAUGCAGUACUGAAAUACAACUGAGUACCCAAAGCUUCUUGCAAUUUGUUCCAGAAACAAGACGUAAAUCGGGGAUCUCUGUCUGAUAUAAUGGAGACAGGCACUCCAUGUAGUCUAACAAUCUCAGAUAUAUACAAUCCAGCCAAUUUAUCUAAAGAAUAAUCCAUACAUACUGGGAUAAAGUGCGCGGACUUUGUCAAUCGGUCGACAAUUACCCAAAUGGCAUCUUUCUUCCUCGGAGAUAACGGUAACCCAAAUACAAAAUCCAUAGUGAUUCUUUCCCAUUUCCAUUCUGGUAUAGUGAUUGGCUGAAGCAACCCCGAAGGUACCUGAUGUUCAGCCUUAACCUGCUGACAUACUAAACAUCUUGAUACAAACUCAGAGAUAUCACGUUUCAUACCCGGCCACCAAUACAUCUUUUUCAAGUCAUUAUACAUUUUAUUACCUCCCGGAUGUACGGACAUAAUACCACUGUGUGCUUCGUGUAAAAUCUUCUGUACAAGUUCUGAAUUCUUCGGUACACAUACUCUGCCUCUGAAUAAUAAACAACCAUCAGUUCCAAUCUGAAAUUCUGAAUCAUUACCUGACUCACAAUGCACCCGUUUAGCCUGUAAUUUCUCAUCAUUCCUCUGAGCUUCACAUAUUUGUUGACGAAAUGUCGAUUUAGCUCUCAAUUCAGCUAUGAUUGAACCAUCAUUAGACAGUGACAACCGGGUAUUCAUAGCUCGUAAAGCAAAUAGAGAUUUUCGGCUCAAAGCAUCAGCUACCACGUUAGCCUUACCCGGAUGGUAAUCAAUAACCAAAUCAUAAUCCUUUAUCAAUUCAAGCCACCUGCGUUGUCUCAAAUUCAAAUCUUUCUGUGUCAUCAAAUAUUUCAAGCUUUUGUGAUCAGUAUAAAUAUGACACUUUUCACCAUACAAAUAAUGCCGCCAUAUUUUCAAUGCAAAUACAAUAGCAGCUAACUCGAGAUCAUGUACCGGGUAGUUUCUUUCAUGUGGCUUAAGUUGUCUUGAAGCAUAGGCUAUUACUUUAUCUUCUUGCAUCAAGACACAACCCAAACCAUUUAAUGAUGCAUCACUAUAAAUAAUAAAUUCCUUACCCGAUUCAGGCUGUACCAACACAGGUGCUUUCGUUAACAACUCCUUCAAUCGGUCGAAACUUUGCUGGCAUUUUUCUAUCCAUUCAAAUUUAACAUCUUUCUGUAAUAAACGGGUCAUUGGAGAAGCUAUCAUAGAAAACCCUUGUACAAAUCUCCGAUAAUAACCAGCUAAACCCAAGAAACUUCUAACUUCAGAUACAUUCUUCGGUGGACUCCAAUUGACAAUAGCUGAAAUUUUACUCGGAUCUACCCUGAUGCCUUCUGCGGAUACAAUAUGUCCGAGAAAACCUACCUCUCGAAGCCAAAAUUCACAUUUACUGAAUUUAGCAUAAAGUUUCUUUUCACGCAGAAUUUGCAACACUAUUUUCAAAUGUUCUGCAUGCUCAGUUUCAUCCUGAGAAUAAACUAAAAUGUCAUCAAUAAAAACUACUACAAACCUAUCUAGAUACGGUCUGAAUAUCCGGUUCAUCAAAUCCAUGAAUACUGCAGGUGCAUUAGUCAACCCAAACGGCAUAACCAGAAACUCAUAAUGCCCAUACCUGGUUCUGAAAGCUGUCUUUGGCACAUCUGGCUCUUUUACCCGUAACUGAUAAUAACCCGAUCGGAGAUCAAUCUUUGAAAAUACUGUGGCACCUUUCAGUUGAUCAAAUAAGUCGUCAAUUCGAGGCAAUGGGUACUUAUUCUUUAUAGUUACCUUAUUAAGCUGCCGAUAGUCAAUACACAAUCUCAAAGACCCGUCUUUCUUUUUCACAAACAGAACUGGAGCACCCCAAGGUGAAUGACUCGGACGAACAAAACCUCUGUCAACAAGUUCCUGUAACUGUGCCUUUAACUCUUUUAAUUCUGUAGGAGCCAUACGAUACGGAGCUAUGGAAAUUGGGGCAGUUCCCGGAAUCAGAUCUAUAGAAAAUUCCACUUCUCUUUCUGGUGGCAACCCUGGUAACUCCUCUGGAAAUACAUCAGAAAAUUCACAUACAACUGGCACUGCCUGUAUCUUUGACUCAGAUACCUUAGUAUCCAACACAUACGCCAAAUAAACAUCAUUCCCUUUUCUAACACACCUCUGAGCUGUCAUAACUGAAAUCAUAUCGGAUAAUCCCUCUGUCUGAUUAGAUUUAACCCAAAGUAAUUCUCCAUUCUGGCAUUUCAACACAACAUAUUUUUGUCUACAGUUUACUACUGCAUCAUGCUGAGUUAACCAAUCCAUGCCCAAUAUCACAUCAAACUCAUCAAAAGGCAAUAACAUCAAGUCAACCGGGAAACAAAUACCUUUUACCAUCAGUGGACAAUUUUUACAAACUUUAUCCACUAUCACAAACUGGCCCAGGGGGUUCGAGACUUUAACUAUAAAUUCAGUAGGUUCAACAGACAAAUUUUUAACAAAUGCUAAUUUUGUGCAUAUAUAUGAAUGUGUAGAGCCAGGAUCAAUUAAUGCAAUAACAGUAGUAUCAUAGAGAGAAAAUGUACCCGCAAUUACAUCAAGAGAGGACGCCUCUUCACGAGCUCGAAUAGCAUAUGAUCUUGCAGGUGCUCUAACAUCUGAUCUAACCGCUGAAUCUUUGAAUGCACCCCUAUUACUUGCCCCCACUCCUGGGUUUCUCUGCAGUCUACCUCUGGUAGGAGCAUUACCUGAUCUCGCACUCGUUAUUUCUUCUCUUUUAGUUGCUUCAGGACAAUCCCGAAUAAAGUGAUCGGAUGCUCCACAUCUGAAGCAAACAUUUUCACCUGCUCUACACUCUCCGAGGUGGCGUCUCCCACAUUGAGGACAUUCCGGUCUAGGAGGUCGAGUACUGCCAGUACUUGCAACUGUAGUGGUUUGAGCUCUAAAACCCUCGAAUCUUCUACUUCUGCUUCGGCCAGAAUAUAUAUGUGGAAAAUGUGAUCCGCUAGAGAGCUCCCUAGGCCUCUUAGAUGUAGACUGAAAUGAUUUACUCAUUUGUCUCUUCUUUGUAUCCUGCGCUCCAGCUUCAGCUUUGCUCUUCUCUUUUUCUUUUAACAAGUCUUCUACUUUACAAGCUCUUUCUACCAGAACAACAAACUCUCUGAUUUCCAAUACACCCACUGAUAGUCGGAUGUCAUCAUUAAGCCCAUCUUCAAAUCUCUUGCACAUGUUGGCUUCGGUGGAUACAAAUUCCCGAGCAUACUUACUAAGUCUGACAAAUUCGCGUUCAUAUUCAGUCACGGACAUCUUACCUUGUUUUAGCUCAAGAAACUCCUUCCUUUUCUGCUCUGUAAAUCUCUGGCUGAUGUACUUCUUUCGAAACUCCUCCUGAAAGAAAUCCCAAGUAACCCUCUCACUCGGUACGAUAGACACGAGAGUCUUCCACCAAUGAUAAGCGGAAUCUCUGAGAAGUGAGACCACACACUUCAUACAUUCUUCCGGUGUACAAGAUAAUUCUUCAAAAACCCUGAUAGUAUUCUCAAGCCAGAAUUCUGUUUUUUCUGCAUCGUCAUCUUUGGUAGCCCGAAAUUCUUCAGCCUCUUGCUUCCUAAUCUUAUCAAUAGGUGGUCUCUCCCUGAUAAAUAUACCUGCAGUUGGGGAAGCUACAUGGGGAACCUGUGAAUCUUGAGGGGGUGGAGGUCUUACAGCCGGAUUCGUACGAACGAACUCGGCAAACCAAUCAGUCAUGGCUUGGAAGAAGGCUUCUCUAGCUCCUCCUCCCUGUCUAUCUGAUGCAGGUCUUUCACUAACAUUAACAUCUGAUGGCACUGUCCCUUCUGCGGGAAUAGGCGCAUUACUCUCUACUUCAUCUGUACUAGCUCGUUCAGGAUCCAUAACUAUAAAAGAAAACAUUUUAAAAUCGUCAGGAGUCGUCACACUAUCAAAAUAUAUAAGUAUGGCAUGUAUAGGUAGACUCUUAUUCUUAGAUUAAAACAUGUUCUUAUCACCCCUAAACACCACCAGUCAAAAUCAUAUCUUACUCAAGUUCAAAAAACCUCCUAGUUGAAGAGAAGACAAUCGAAAUCAUCCUUAACCCACAGAUCCUUAUUCAACAUCGAUCAAGAGGACAUUGAACAUGAUUCCAUGAUAAGCUUGUUAAAAUCCGUCAAGAAAGAAAAGGUGGAUCAGUAGCAUUCAACAGUGUUCCUCAUCAGCUAUGGCCGUCGAUGAUGAACCUCAGACCCCUCAGCCGUUUGAGUUCACAUCCUGAUUUCACUUGGAUUUCGUUUUGACAAUAGUUUUUAGAGACGACUGGUGUUUGGUCACAUUGCAGAUCUUGGACCUCAACCAGUUACAUUCGUUCUAAUGUUUUUUUCUAUUUUUAGGGGAAAUAUUGUCAUAUACAUGCUCAACCAUUAUUCACCAUUUAAUUUAAGCUGAAAAGUGCCACAUUAGAUUUUGUUGCCUAAUUUCUUUUUUAAAUGUUGAUAUGCAUGAAUAUAUUGAAUAUACACUAGAAAUAUAAAAUUAAAAUUAAUUAUAAUUUUAUUUAUAAUUAAGUUAAAUAAAUUAUAAGAAAUAUAAACUAUAAAGCAAAUUGAAACAAAUAUAUAGUAAAAUUUUGAACUGAAAAUAUAUAUUUUAAACUUAAAUAGUAAACUGUUAAACUUAAAAUAUAUUAUUAAGUAAAGACACAUUUUAAUAAGAUUGAUUAAAGUAAAUUUAUAUAUAUAUAUUUCAAUUUCUUAAUUAACUUAAAAAAAUAUUAUAUUCAGGAUUAGAUUUAAUUAAUUUAAUUAAAAUUGAAUGUUUCAUAUUCUUAUCCUUAGAAUGGAAAUGCUUGGGUUAUUAUGGGAAAAGAAAUAUCGACAAAUACUCUAACAAGUCAACGACGAAAAUGACUCUUCUCUUUAAGGAGUAAAGCAUGACCUAAGAAAGUAUACCACAAAGGCUGGAGUAAAGUGAAGCAAACUCAAGGGUUUUCUUGUAAUGGAUGUGAGUGAGUGUGAGAGUAGUACAGAGGGGGAGACCAUGGAACUUCAACAUUUCAGCCAUCAACAUCCUUUGGUCUUCUUCAAAUAUCAGCAGACUGUUGCAAGCGAAGAAGUAGAUCCAGAAGCAGCUCUUUGCCGUGGGUGUGAGAAACCUGUAGAGGGCUGGAGCUAUGGCUGCAAUCAAUGUGAGUUUUAUCUUCAUAAGGGAUGUGCUGAGUUAGAGUUAGCCCCCCAGAUUCAGCAUCCUUUCCACCCCAAACACCCUCUAACUCUUUUGCCAGAAUCACUUUAUUCUGGGGGGUGCGAUUUCUGUGGUAAGGCAUUUCGGGGAUUUGUUUAUAAUUGUUAUGAUUGUAAGUUCGAUCUGCACAUCAAUUGUGCUUUGCUUCAAUCAUCCGUUGCUGCAAAUUUUCCUAAUUCUUUGCACCCCCAUCCAUUGUUCUUCAUUCAAAACCAUAACAACGAAGUCGAUUCUGAUUGCCCCGGGUGUCAAAAACCAAUAUCUGGUCCAUUUUACCACUGUUCUGAUUGCUCGUAUCCUACAUUCUUUAACCUCCAUAAGGAAUGUGCUGAACUACCCCUUGAGAUUAAUCACCCCUGUGACCGUAAGCAUCCUCUUACUCUCUUGCCACAACCGCCUACUCAUCCCCAGAAAUGUAGUUGCUCUAUGUGCAGAAUCCAAUGGAAGGGGUUUGUUUAUUCCUGCUCUCUUUGCAACUUUGAUCUUUCACUUGAUGAUUUUCUUUUUUCACCACCAACAAUCACAGUUCCAAGUCAUGAACACCCGUGGAUGCUUGUAUCUAGAAAAAUGUCGUUUGUUUGUGAUUUUUGUGGCACUGACGGAGAUCACUCCCCCUAUUUCUGUGCUACAUGUGUACUUUUUGUCCACAAAAAUUGCAUUUCAUUGCCACGCCACAUCAUGAUAACACGACAUCGUCACACGAUAUCUCUUUCUUAUUCUUUUAGACAAAAUCAAGUUGACGAUGGGAUGUGCAGAGUUUGUUAUUUGAAAGUUGAUACAAGCUACGGCAGUUACCGUUGUUCUGCUUCUGAUUGCAAUUAUAUUGCUCAUGCACUUUGUGCAACUGAUAAAGCAAUUUGGGAUGGAACAAUUAUGCUUGAAGGCUAUGAUGAGAGGUCCGAGGAAGUGGUGCAUGAACCUUGGAAUUUGAUUACUGAUGUUGUUGAACAAAUUAGUAUUGGAGAGCUAAUGGUAGCAAGUGAGAUCAAGCAUUCCUAUCAUGAGCAUAAUUUAAGACUCACUUUUAGUGGGAAGACCAAAGAUGAUGAUAGUCAGUGUGAUGGGUGCACGAGACCUAUAUCAACUCCUUUUUAUAGUUGUGAGCAAUGCAAGUUCUUUCUCCACAAAGAUUGCGCUGAAUUGCCUAAAAAAAUGCCACACCCAUUUCACAGGCAUUUGCUUACUCUCACAAACUCAAACG
rnacentral:lncRNA from 1 species